UUUCCCAGUCUUGACCUCCCCCUUCUUUUAGUGGAAAAUUACUAGAAGUCCAAGGUAGUGUUUAGUACCACCUGACCUUGCAACAUAACCCAAGCAAG